AACAACUCACCUGCCGAAUGAAUUAGCCCUGAAAAUGGAUGGCGCUCAAGCGAGUAGCCGACACUGUGCCGUCUGAGAUAAAUGAUUACAAAAAAGUUCCAGAUGAGUAGGAGGAACGUGGCGGUUGUAUAGAAGCGUGUGCGCAAGCAUGCGUGGAACGGCCGCUAGUGCAGAUCUUGGUGGUAGUAGCAAAUAUUCAAAUGAAAACCUUGAAGGGCGAAGCGGGGAAGGGUUCCACGCGAACAUUGAUUGGGCGUGGGUGAGUCGUUCCUAAGCCGUCUGGUAAUUGACUAGAUAUUAUUUCGGCGAAAGGGAAGCAGGUUUAUAUUCCUGCACACGGAUGUGGAAAUGCGGUGACGCACACUGGGGCGGUGAAGUCGUCGGUUGCACUGGGCAGAGAUUUCUUUUCUGUUUGACGGAGCCUGACUGUACACUAUGGAAUCCGCUUGUCGGGAGAAAUAGGUAUGUCACGGCAAAGCGCCGGGUUUUUUUUCUGGCGUCCAGUUUGCGACUGGCGGACCAUGAAAAGCUGUCUGCUGGCAAAACAGUAAUGUUUUGUGUGAAAAAAAUUCCACGCCGUAACGUACCCAUAACCGCAUCAGGUCCCCAAGGUGAACAGCCUCUGCUCGAUAUGAAAAAUGCAGGUGAGGGAAGUCGGCAAAUUAGACCCGUAACUUUGGGAAAAGGGUUGGCUCUAGUGCUGCGUAGGAGUGGUUGCUGGUUGUAGCCAUGGAAAAUGAGUCGAAUUUACGAUUUCUGCGACCGAAAGGUAGUGGGGAUUUUGGACGAGAUUCUUUUCUGUGGUUCCUGGUGACUGUGCCUACAGCAUGCAGCAAACUAGAACUGCAACGGACAAAGGGAAUCCGACUGUUUAAUUAAAACAAAGCAUU
rnacentral:rRNA from 1 species